rnacentral:rRNA from 1 species
AUUGAACGCUGGCGGCAGGCCUAACACAUGCAAGUCGAGCGAGCGGCGGACGGGUGAGUAAUGUAUGGGGACUGCCCGAUAGAGGGGGAUAACUACUGGAAACGGUGGCUAAUACCGCAUACUAUCGGAUAACCCAUAUGGGAUUAGCUAGUAGGUGGGGUAAAGGCUCACCUAGGCGACGAUCUCUAGCUGGUCUGAGAGGAUGAUCGUCCACACUGGGACGGGAACAGGGCCCAGAGUCCUAGGGGGGCAGCAGUGGGGAGUAUUGAACAAGGGGGGAAAGCCUGAUGCAGCCGUGCCGGGUGUAUGAGGAAGGCCUUAGGGUUGUAAAGUACUUUCAGCGGGGAGGCGUUACCCGCAGAAGAAGCACCGGCUAACUCCGUGCCAGCCGCCGCGGUAAUAC